rnacentral:rRNA from 1 species
UACGUAGGGUGCAAGCGUUAAUCGGAAUUACUGGGCGUAAAGCGUGCGCAGGCGGUUAUGUAAGACAGGUGUGAAAUCCCCGGGCUUAACCUGGGAACUGCAUUUGUGACUGCAUAGCUAGAGUACGGUAGAGGGGGAUGGAAUUCCGCGUGUAGCAGUGAAAUGCGUAGAUAUGCGGAGGAACACCGAUGGCGAAGGCAAUCCCCUGGACCUGUACUGACGCUCAUGCACGAAAGCGUAGGGAGCAAACAGG